AGGCAGUGAUGAGCAAUUGAGAUGUCAUGCACCACUCUGAAAAUUGAUUGAUGACAAAUUUCUCAUACCCAUUACUCUGAUGCCU
rfam:Morus notabilis contig10677, whole genome shotgun sequence.